ACUUUAGUGUCUGAUAAAAGUUAAAAAUUGUAAAUUUUUACAUAACAGAAUUUCUGUUCUAAAGUA
rnacentral:tRNA from 2 species